ensembl:lncRNA
GGGGGAUAUGGGGGGGUUAUGGGGGGAAGGGGGGGGCUGAGACCCAUUUGGGGACAGUGGGAUCUGAUUUGGGGACAUUGAGACCCAUUUGGGGACAUUGAGACCCAUUUGGGGACAUUGAGGCCCAUUUGGGGACAGUGGGAUCUGAUUUGGGGACAUUGAGACCCAUUUGGGGACAGUGGGAUCAGGAUUGGGGACAUUGAGACCCAUUUGGGGACAUUGAGUCCCAUUUGGGGACAGUGGGACCCUAUUUGGGGACAUUGAGACCCAUUUGGGGACAUUGAGACCCAUUUGGGGACGGUCCCAAAGGCGGCGGUGUCAGGCCCCAUGGAGGCGCUGUGGGGCUCAGCCUUCCUGAUGGCGGCGCUGCUGCUGACCGCCGCCCUCUGCGUCCGCUGCCACCGCCAGCGCAGUCCUGGUGCUCCGCUGUACGACAGAGACAAGCCGAUGUCGGAACCGCCGCCUCACAGCUUCCAGAUCCUCCCCGUCGUGCGCCACCCUCAGAGCGCCCCCCCCCCACCCCGCGGAGCGGCGCCGGAGAUGAUCCUCAACCCGAACCCCAAUCUGCACAACCCCAACAUCCACCUCUCCUGGGGGACGCGCGGACACGGAGACGCGGGGUCCCCGCAGACCUCCCAGCAACGCCGCAUCUCCGCCACCCGCCCGGAGCCGGAGAGAGGGUCCCCAACGUGCGCCCCCGAGAGCGAGGACGACUACAGCAAUGAGGUCUACGCCUCCGGAUAUGUGAAGGUUCUCCCGGACGCUGAGGACGCGGCGCAGCGCAGCAACGGCAGCGCCACGGCCGACACCGCAGCACACGCCACCCCCCCCGAGCAAUAUGAGAACGUCCCCGAUGUCUCCCGCCACUCCCUGGGUGACAGCCUGGAGUACAUCAACGUCCCCACGGUGACGCCCAGCCCUGCAUCCCGCUACGGCAGCGACCGCGACAGCGACGCCGACGGCCCCCGACUACGAGAACGUGACCCCCCCACGCCCCCCAGGACCCCCAUAAUUUAUUGCUGCCCCACACGGAGCGCCCCGGGCUGACGCAACCUGAGAAGACGCCGCGACCCACAGAUCCCCAUAAGUGCCCCAUUAAAGCCCCACAUUCACCCCAUGGACCCUUAUGGGCACUCUCUCAGCCCCACAGAUGCCCCACUGACCCCAUGGCCGCCCCAUAGAUGCCAGGGCUGCCCCAUAGAUCCUAUGGGUCCCCACUGACCCCACAGACAUCCCACAGACCCCAUAGGCACCCCAUAGAUGCCAGGGCUGCCCCAUAGAUCCUAUGGGCACCCACUGACAUCCCACAGACCCCACAGCCGCCCCAUAGAUCCUAUGGGCACCCACUGACCCCACAGACAUCCCAGAGACCCCAUAGACACCCCAUAGAUCCUAUGGGCACCCACUGAC